GUCGAGAAUAUUUGUCAAUGGGCGAAAGCCUGAACAAGCGAUGCCGCGUGUGGGAUGAAGGCCCUUGGGUCGUAAACCACUUUUGUUAUAGAAAAACUUACGUGAUGGUAUAUAGCGAAUAAGAGGUUACUAACUCUGUGCCAGCAGUAGCGGUAAUACAGAGACCUCAAGCGUUAUCCGGAUUUAUUGGGCGUAAAGAGCAGGUAGGUGGGAAUAUUAGUCAGAUGUCAAAUCCUCGGGCUCAACCCGAGAACUGCAUUUGAAACGAUAUUUCUAGAGGGAGUGAGAGAUUACUGGAACUUAUGGUGUAGCAGUGAAAUGCGUUGAUAUCAUGAGGAACACCAAAGGCGAAGGCAGGUAAUUGGCACUCUCCUGACACUGAUCUGCGAAAGCGUGGGUAGCGAAUGGGAUUAGAUACCCCGGUAGUCC
rnacentral:rRNA from 1 species